AUCCUAUCCCCGCGUGCCUCGCAGCCGCCGCUCGCGCCUCCCAUCCCCCGCCGCCAUCUCGCGCCUCCCAUCACCGCCAUCGCGUCGCGCGCCCCUUCUCGCCCACAGCGCCGCCGGUUCCUGCUGUGCGUCUCGCGCCGGCGCAGCGUCCCGGCUCGAACCGCUGCGGGGCGCCGUCUCGGUCUCGUUUGCGGGAGGAGCGGCCGGUCGGCCUGCCCCGAGCCCGCCGCGGGACGCCGUCUCGUUGCUUGGGAGGAACGGCCGGUCAGCCCGCGCUACGCCAGGGCGUCGAGCCCGCCGCUGCACAUCGUGCUAUGGCUGGGCUGCUCCGCGCGAGUAGCAGCAGCGCGCCGGAGAGAUGAGGUAUCAUAUGGGGGAGGAGGAGACAGAGGCUGGGGUGGAGGAGAUGGAGCAGCGCCGUAUCGCCAUCGCCGGGAGCAGUUCCGCCUUGCACUGGACCCGACCGACUGUGAGGGGAGCGGCGUCGGCGGUGGCCGCAAACCUCACCGUCCCCUGCAGCGGCCGGCGAUUUGAGGUGACAGUCGUGCUCCCUACUCUCCUUCUUGAUCCCAUUUUUUCUUCGUUUUUCUUUUUUUUCUAUCAUCUCGAGGGAAACCCUAGCUCUAUUUUCCUUUAUAACUGAAACCUAUUGCAUGUUUACUUGGUAAAGACAUGGGCAAAGGAGAAGAUGCUAACAUGGAAUUAGAUUGUGGAUCCUUCCAAUAUUCCUCAGGGGGACUAUCCCAUUUCAAGCACAUCAUGUGUGGAUGCCAAGAGGUUGCGCUGUUCCGCAACACUAUCUGACCCCGUACUCUCUCUCUCUCUCUCUCUCUCAAGAAGGCUGCUCUACAGGGAGGUUUUUUUUUACCAGGAGGAGUGCGGCAUCACCAUCUCCGGGAGAAGAGAAGGCCGCCGCACGUGUCACUAGCUGUUGUGCCUCUCCCUCCUUGAGGUUUAGGUAAUUUAUGUCUUGGGUUGCAAUGGUUUCCCAAACUCAAUCCUCAGAUCUGUGUUGUGCAGAAUUUUGAGUGGAAGAAGCAUGCCUCUCCAAGUUUAAUGCACGUAUAUCAUGAUCUGGAAAUUUCGAACAUCGGUAAUGAUAUGGAAAAGGUUGGUUUGAAUGCAUUGUAAUGCUUGAAGCUCUCAUUGGGCUUAUUUUAUCCUCCAAACGAUAUCCGAAGCAAUCAAGUUCGCCAACUACAACAACGGCAACCAUCUGUUUGGUGUUGGCAAUGGACGUGGGACCUAGGCCCCGGAGAUCAAUGGCGACGAGGAGCAGCUGCUGGUCGUCGUUGCGGCACUUGCGCUCAUCUGACAGUGAGUGACGUUCAGCCAGUAACAAGUUAUCUAUCUUCUUUGGGCGGGAGGAUCAAGUGAUCACCAAAAUAUUUCUUCAGAUCUUUCACUUUCAUGGUGUUGUAUGAUUAAAUGGUUGAAGGAUGAGGAUGACAGGAUGCAGAAAAAUACUUUUACCAACAAUCAUUGUGGCCUCUACUAAAGUGAUUUAUAGGUUCGGCAUUAUGCUACUGGUUAUGUGUUCUGCUAUAAUUAAUGAUGGGCAUGGAAGUACACAAAAGGGACAGAUGAUUGGGAUCAAGGUUUCAGUGACUUGAUCCAGGUCAAAGGACAUUAUCUGACUUGAAGACCAGCCAUUCCUAAAGAAGGAUUACUAGGAGACGUACACUGGUGAUAUUGUUUCCGUCUUCAGUAACGGUUAAUAUUCCACCGCUGUGCCGCAACAGAGCGUCCAGAGCCGCCACAUAAGGUGGUGAGGAAGAGCGUGCGCAGGGAGCAUGUGCAGAUUGUCAUGGGAGGAUUAAUCUGUGUAACUGAGGUUCAUUCAUGAGAUUCAGUUCACAAGGUACAAAUAUAUGGUGAUCAAGGCUCUGUGGGGAACCUGAGCAAAGGUUUCUCAGGAAAACAAUACCGCCGGAGUUGAUCCUGACAGUUGACGUGAAGCAGUGUGGAAGAACGGCAUGAAGAUGAAGGCAGCGAGCUGCUGGAUACAAUCGCGCCAGACCUGGUGUUCAUCAUCGAUGAUAAGUCGGACCAGGUGUUCACCCGGUAUGGAAACAACUUGGUGGCCAGGAGAAGAUACCCCUCGCGAUGUCCUGACGGGCACCCAUGCACCUGGCAAUGCUGGACAGAUGUAGGAUGAUAGGGUCUAUCUGCUCCAUGAUCCACCCAUGGUCGGGGUAGUGAUAGCAUGAUGGCGCCAACAUGAUCUUAUACCAAUUUAUCCCCAACAUGCAUACUCACAAAGCGAAAGAUUUCAUGUGUGCUUAUGUCCUUUCCUCUUUUAGCUAA